rnacentral:rRNA from 1 species
AUGUUAUCCAUGCUUUCGUGGUGCAAAAAAUAUGCGGGUGAGGAGCUCACAUUGAUUUUCGUCGAGGUGGAGUUUGCCGAAGACAGCCGGCGCGGCUCAGCGCUUGCUGAGUGCGCCGGCGCACCCGCUGGGUGUAGCUUUCGAGUCUUCGGGUGCUCGAAGAGGGUCCCGGCCGGUCAGGCUCGACCGGGGAGGCGGGACGUGACCAAGCCGGCUUGGCACAGCCGGCCAGGCGUCUGGCAGCGCCCUUUUUCUUCUUUCUUCUCUUCUGCCGGCUGCUCGCAGCCGGAUAAAACUCUACUUUUGUCUCUUGUUUUGUUUCUUGCAAUCUUCCAUGGGGCGCACCAGCGCACCCACUGGGUGUAG